UUAAGUUCAGCGGGUAUCCCUACCUGAUCCGAGGUCAAACUUAGAAAGUGGGGGUUGCUGGCCAGUAAUCACCAAGUCCCUAUAGCGAGGAUAUUUACUACGCUCAGGGCCUAAUGACACCGCCACUAAUUUUAAGGCCCGCUGUAUAAGCAGCGGAGCCCAAUACCAAGCAGUGCUUGAGGGUUGUAAUGACGCUCGAA
rnacentral:misc_RNA from 1 species